GGGACUUAGGUUAAACUAAAACCAAGGGCCUUCAAAGUCCUAAAUAGGGGUGAAACUCUCUUAGUCUCUG
rnacentral:tRNA from 1 species